GCGCGCGCGCGUGCGCGAGUGCACAUGCACGUGUUGUGUUGUGUUUCCUCCAUAAGAAAUUCUUUUCCUGGAUUUGUGAUCCCUGUGGAACAUUAAGAACCUCUCCGAUUGAAUCUCAGGGAGGAACCGGAGGUAUGAAUGACAACUGUUUGAGAAGAAGGUCCCAAAUCCCUCUCUUAAAACCUUGGGAUUGUGCUUGAGACUCAGCCCCGAUGUGUUCCGUGGUGAGUCACUCACCUGGUUUACCCACACUGUAUGCUCCCCCUACCUGCCCCUACCUUGUCAUAAGUGCUGAGGAUUGAACCCAUGGCCUCGUUGCAUGUCAGGGCUCCAGUGCAGAUUUAGAUCCACCUUCUGGAUGCUUUGGUCCCUGGAACAAGGCAGCAGGCUCUUGCUAUCAAGAACCUGUCCCUGAGAAGGUUUGAAGGCAGCAAUGUGCCCAGUGUUCAUUUUCCCAAUGUUGACGGUUGUGCUGUGGUUUUACUGAAGAAUGCCCCUUGAAGGGAUGCUGUGUAACCAACCAGCCACCUCGUGCUUCUGCCACUGUUGCUUCCCCACUGUGAUAGACUGUGCACACUCAAACUGCAAGCCAAAAUAAACCCCACCCUCCUUAGUUGCUUUUCCCAGGAAUUUUGUCACAGCAGUGCUAACAUAAGCCAAGCUUGGGGUUAGGGUCAUUAACCCUAAGAGGGAAAAAAAUGUCUGUUCAAAGAAAGAGUUAUAAACAAAUAAUAGACAUUAAUAGAGUGGCUUUAAGGUAAUUUGUGUCUGUAAAGAAUAAUUCUUUCCUAAAUCUCUGCCUUAGCUUCCCUGUAUACUACCUGUAUAUGCAUGAGUACUCAGAGUUCGUUUUGAUUGGGCAAUCCUUUACAGAAAGAGAUUAUGAAUUCAGUUUGAUCAUGUUUCUCUUUCCUAAAAACAAAGAUAUUCUGGUCCUCUGUCAUCUGACUUGUUUCAAUAACAGCGUGUCUAGUACAGAAAACCACAGCCACACAUCUGCUGCUAAUAAAAGUCCCCGAUCGGCGGAUGCCCAUUGCCCUUCAAAAUGCAUUUCCUUGGCUCCCAAACUGGUUGUGGACCUGGCCAAAGCUUGUUUAUGUUCUCGUCAAGAUACAAUGGGCACUGUGCUUAUUCCAAGAGGAACAAAUGACCAAGUGGAAUCUGUGUCAGCCACUGAAGGUUACCACACAUUUGAGCCUUAAUGACAAGUUGACAGUCUCAUUUAUUAAACUGCUGAACAUGCAGGUUUAAAAAUUUUGUAACAUUUUUCAACUCUUGGUAAAACUUGGUUGCAAAUCUCAAGGCUAAAUGACAUUUGAUAAGCAAAACAGACACAUUUCCAGUAAAAACUGAUUCUUAGAGCAGCAACCUUAGGAGCCCCCCCCCCCUUCUUUUUCCAGGAAACAUUGACUUAGAAGAACUGAGAGCUUUGACUUAAGAAAUAAGCUACUACUAUCUAGCCAAGAACUUCAGCAGGCUCUAGACCCUGCUUGCAGGUACCUAGGUAAAUGAGUUAAGGACAGACUAUAGUCCUCCCUGUAGACAGUGUUGUUUCUAAGCAAAAAUCAGAUAUGUGUGUGUGUGUGCGUGUGUGUGUGUGUGUGUGUAUUUGUGUAACCUGCUUGUGCAACUUGCACUUUCCAAAUAGAGUAAGCAGGAAGGUAAGAAAAUUUCCUGCUAAUCUGGGAAUGAACUUACUCACCAGAAGAGGACGGGGGGUUCUUCAUUAGGAAACCCUAGAAAGACAAUGAAGAUGAGUUACAAGGUCAACUGCAAGGACAGAAAAUAGAAACUUCUGGCACAAUGUGGCAUGUCCAGACAGCCUCAGCAUUUGUUUCCAUAGACUUCUGUGUUGGGCACAAGAGGGGGUCUACUGGCUGAUUAUGGGUGUCAACUUGACACAAGCUGGAGCUAUCACAGAGAAAGGAGCCUCUCUUGAGGAAAUUCCUCCAUGAAAUCCAGCUGUAAGGAUCAGUUAGUGAUCAAGAGUGGGAGGGCCCAUUGUGGGUGGUGCCAUCCCUGGCUGGUUGUCCUGGGUUCUAUAAGAAAGCAAGCUGAGCAAGCCAGGGGAAGCAAGCCAGUGAGUAACCCCUCCAUGGCCUCUGCAUCAGCUCCUGCUUCCUGAUCUGUUCAAGUUCUAGUCCUGACCUCCUUUGGUGAUGGAAUAUGGAAUAUGCAAUAUGGACGUAUAAACUGAAUAAACCCUUUCCUCCCUAA
rnacentral:lncRNA from 1 species